rnacentral:rRNA from 1 species
CCUACGGGUGGCAGCAGUGGGGAAUAUUGGGCAAUGGGCGCAAGCCUGACCCAGCAACGCCGCGUGAAGGAAGAAGGCUUUCGGGUUGUAAACUUCUUUUAAGAGGGAAGAGCAGAAGACGGUACCUCUUGAAUAAGCCACGGCUAACUACGUGCCAGCAGCCGCGGUAAUACGUAGGUGGCAAGCGUUGUCCGGAUUUACUGGGUGUAAAGGGCGUGUAGCCGGGCUGACAAGUCAGAUGUGAAAUCCGGGGGCUCAACCCCCGAACUGCAUUUGAAACUGUUGGUCUUGAGUAUCGGAGAGGCAGGCGGAAUUCCUAGUGUAGCGGUGAAAUGCGUAGAUAUUAGGAGGAACACCAGUGGCGAAGGCGGCUUACUGGACUGUAACUGACGUUGAGGCUCGAAAGCGUGGGGAGCAAACAGGAUUAGAUACCCCUGUAGUC